CCCUUGGUAACGGCGAGUGAAGAGGGAAGAGCCCAGCACCGAAGCCUGCGGCAGUUUUGCUGUUAGGCAAUGUGGUGUGUGGGUCGGCUCGCGGGACCAUCACUCCACUCGAAGUCCAGCAUUGAGUAUGGCUAACACUGGAUUUGGCCCAUAGAGGGUGAGAGGCCCGUACGAGUGGAGGUUCAGACAUGUACGAUGGUUCACCAGGCCGGCCUCAGAGUCGGGUUGUUUGAGAUUGCAGCCCAAAGAGGGUGGUAAACUCCAUCCAAGGCUAAAUACGCCCACGAGUCCGAUAGCGAACAAGUACCGUGAGGGAAAGUUGAAAAGUACUCUGAAGAGAGAGUAAACAGUACGUGAAGCCGCAUGCAGGUAAACGGGUGGCGUCAAGCUGCGAGCCCGGAGGAUUCAGCUGACUGGGAUGUAGUGUGCGCACGCCUGGUGCGUCGAGAGGCCGGAAUAAGAUGCUUAUGGCGGUCCACUCCUCUGCUGGGAGUGGAGUGCAAUCGGUGUGCGCUUGCGUAUGCCGGUUGUCGCUAUGUAUGCCGGGUGGGUGCCGGAGCAUGCCGCUCAUCUGUUGGGCCACCUAGUCAGUGCAUUUUCUCCGUGGUGAACACCACGACCGGUGGAACUGCCAGUCUGCUGUGAUCAAGUCGUGUCCUUCUGGCGCGUUACUGCGCUAGGGGUUUGGCACGAUGGCAGGCGGAGUCGGUGAACGGCGCAGUGGUGCUUCGGUACUGCCGCGUGUUAUCGUGCACUCUCCGUCGUAAGCGGUUAGUGGGGUUGACUAAGUGCUGUGACUACUUUCCCAUUAACCGGCCGAUGACAGUGGUGAAAGGGACUGUGCAGGGCACCGGAGUUGUCCACCUCAUUCAAUAUGGUACCCGGCACGCACGUUACAGGUGCCUAUACAAUCGGGAUGCGCCGCUGUCUGCCUGGUGUUGGGCCUGGCUGUCGUGUCGCCUACGCAAAGUGGGUCCGGCAGUGGUUUCGAUGCUUGGUAGCCGCAGUGUGUUGCGUGUCUCGGGUGUCUGUGGUACCGGGGGUGAAAUAGUCAGUGGUGCUGUGGUAGACGAGCUACCCGACCCGUCUUGAAACACGGACCAAGGAGUUUAACAUGUGUGCAAGUCAAAGGGUCCUACGAAACCCCUAGGCGCAGUGAAAGUGAAGUUCACGCUGCAUUUCUGCACA
rnacentral:rRNA from 1 species